rnacentral:rRNA from 1 species
UACGGAGGGUGCAAGCGUUAUCCGGAUUUACUGGGUUUAAAGGGUGCGUAGGUGGGUCUGUAAGUCAGUGGUGAAAUCUCCGAGCUUAACUCGGAAACUGCCAUUGAUACUAUAGGUCUUGAAUUAUCUGGAGGUAAGCGGAAUAUGUCAUGUAGCGGUGAAAUGCUUAGAUAUGACACAGAACACCGAUUGCGAAGGCAGCUCACUAAAUUGUAACUGACGCUGAGGCACGAAAGCGUGGGGAUCAAACAGG